rnacentral:rRNA from 1 species
UACGUAGGGUGCAAGCGUUAUCCGGAAUUAUUGGGCGUAAAGAGCUCGUAGGCGGUUUGUCGCGUCUGCCGUGAAAGCCGGGGCUCAACGUCCGGAUCUGCGGUGGGUACGGGCAGACUAGAGUGAUGUAGGGGAGACUGGAAUUCCUGGUGUAGCGGUGAAAUGCGCAGAUAUCAGGAGGAACACCGAGUGGCGAAGGCAGGUCUCUGGGCAUUAACUGACGCUGAGGAGCGAAAGCAUGGGGAGCGAACAGG